GACGAACGCUGGCGGCAGGCCUAACACAUGCAAGUCGAACGCUCCGCAAGGAGAGUGGCAGACGGGUGAGUAACACGUGGGAAUCUUCCUAUCGGUACGGAAUAGCUCAGGGAAACUUGAGGUAAUACCGCAUACGCCCUUCGGGGGAAAGAUUUAUCGCCGAUAGAUGAGCCCGCGUCUGAUUAGCUAGUUGGUGGGGUAAUGGCCUACCAAGGCGACGAUCAGUAGCUGGUCUGAGAGGAUGACCAGACACACUGGGACUGAGACACGGCCCAGACUCCUACGGGAGGCAGCAGUGGGGAAUAUUGGACAAUGGGCGCAAGCCUGAUCCAGCCAUGCCGCGUGAGUGACGAAGGUCUUCGGAUUGUAAAGCUCUUUUGCCAGGGACGAUAAUGACGGUACCUGGAGAAUAAGCCCCGGCUAACUUCGUGCCAGCCGCCGCCGUAAUAC
rnacentral:rRNA from 1 species